UCUCUUGUUCUCAGUUCCUGAACCCAGAACCAUAAAGGUGAAAAGGUGUCUUGUUAUUCAUGUGAUGUUAAUUAAGGUGACUUUUGCAAAGCACCUAAGAAUGGGGGCUGGUUGUCCCGAACCAACCAUGAAUACAAGUUGGAAUUUUCAGUCCCACCCCUAUCUUCUGGGGAGGUGAGAGGGACAACCAGUCGAAUCAAUCAACCCUGCCUACAUAAUGAGGCCUCCAUAAAAACCCACAGGGAGGGGGUGUGGAGAGCUUCCAGAAGCCUUCCACCUGCCACCGCUCUGGGCCCUAGCUCUGUGAGGAUAGAAGGCUCCUUUUUUGUGACCUCUCUGUGUAUCUCUUCAUCAGGAUGUUGAUUUUUAUCCUUUAAUAUUCUUUAUAACAAACUGGUAAUUUAGUGAGUAAACAGGUUUUCCUGAGUUCUGUGAGUCCUUCUAGGAAACUAAUCUAACUCAAGAAAGGGAUCCUGGGUACCUCCAAUUUGUAGCCAAUUGAUCAGACACACAAGUAACAACCUGGACUUGAAACUGGUGUCUGAAGUGUGCUGGGUGGGCAGGGACAGAAGGGGAGCAGUCUUGUAGGACUGGACCCUUAACCUGUAGAAUCUGUUUCUACCUCCAGAAUAGAAUAGAAUCUGAUUCUAUCCCCCACCCUAUGUUGGAAUUGGGUCUGGGAACUAUUUUCAGAGAAAAAUAGCCAUAAAAAUUAAUGAAAUAAGUGACUGGGCAAGGGCCUCAGUAACAUUCAUAUGCUGAAUGGCUAAGGUGUAUGACAUCAUGGAUUAUGACAUUAACUGUUAUGUUUCUUUGUUUCACUGCAAUAUUAAAUUCUAUACAGAAUUUAUAGGCCAGUGUUCAGCUUAGCUUUUGGCCAAUGGGCAUUUAAAUACUUCAGGAAGGUAGGAGCCAGAAAAUAGCUAAAAAGGUAGUUAUACUUUUAGAAAUACCUUUACUUAAAAUUUAUCCACAAUGGUACAUUUCUUUUACAACAGCUCAAAUAUUUAGGUAGGAAAAGGAAAUCUCCAGGGAAAACAGGUGAUUUAAAAUCUUUGUUA